rnacentral:tRNA from 1 species
AGUCUUAUAUUCAUAAAUGAUAUAAAAUUGCAAAUUUUAAGGUGUAAAAAUUACUAAGGCUU